rnacentral:rRNA from 1 species
AGAGCGAACGCUGGCGGCAGGCCUAACACAUGCAAGUCGAGCGCGUGUAGCAAUACACGAGCGGCAGACGGGAGAGUAACACGUGGGAACGCGCCCUUUGGUUCGGAAUAACUCAGGGAAACUUGAGCUAAUACCGGAUAAGCCCUUACGGGGAAAGAUUUAUCGCCAAAGGAACGGCCCGCGUCCGAUUAGCUAGUUGGUGAGGUAACGGCUCACCAAGGCGACGAUCGGUAGCUGGUCUGAGAGGAUGACCAGCCUCACUGGGACUGAGACACGGCCCAGACUCCUACGGGAGGCAGCAGUGGGGAAUAUUGGACAAUGGGCGCAAGCCUGAUCCAGCCAUGCCGCGUGGAUGAUGAAGGCCUUAGGGUUGUAAAGUCCUUUUAACGGGAAGAUAAUGACGGUACCCGUAGAAUAAGCCCGGCUAACUUCGUGCCAGCAGCGC